CGGGGUGGUGGGGAUCUUGGGUGGACCUCAUUCGGGACGAAGAGGUCGUGGGUUCAAAUCCCGCCACCCCGA
rnacentral:tRNA from 2 species